rnacentral:rRNA from 1 species
CCUACGGUGUGCAGCAGUGGGGAAUAUUGCACAAUGGGGGAAACCCUGAUGCAGCGACGUCGCGUGAGUGAUGAAGUAUUUCGGUAUGUACAGCUCUAUCAGCAGGGAAGAAAAUGACGGUACCUGACUAAGAAGCACCGGCUAACUACGUGCCAGCAGCCGCGGUAAUACGUAGGGGGCAAGCGUUAUCCGGAUUGACUGGGUGUAAAGGGAGCGUAGACGGCGGUGCAAGCCAGAUGUGAAAGCCCGGGGCUCAACCCCGGGACUGCAUUUGGAACUGUGCGGCUAGAGUGUCGGAGAGGCAGGGGGAAUGCCUAGUGCAGGGGGGAAAGGCGUAGAUAGAAGGAGGAAAACCAGUGGCGAAGGCGGCAUGUUGGACGAUGACUGACGUUGAGGCUCGAAAGCGUGGGGAGCAAAGAGGAUUAGAUACCCAGUAGUC